rnacentral:rRNA from 1 species
CACGUAGGGGGCAAGCGUUGUCCGGAAUUAUUGGGCGUAAAGAGCUCGUAGGCGGCUCGGUAAGUCAGGUGUCAAAUCCUCAGGCUCAACCCGGGGCUCCACCUGAUACUGCUGUGGCUAGAGUCCGGUAGGGGAGCGUGGAAUUCCUGGUGUAGCGGUGAAAUGCGCAGAUAUCAGGAGGAACACCAGCGGCGAAGGCGGCGCUCUGGGCCGGAACUGACGCUGAGGAGCGAAAGCGUGGGUAGCAAACAGG